rnacentral:rRNA from 1 species
UACCAAAAACAUAGCCCUUAAUAAUAUUAAAGGUGGUACCUGCCCUGUGAUAAAUAUAUAAAAAUUAUAAUCUAAUUUUAAUUUUAUUAAACGGAUGCGGUAACUCUGACUGUAGUAAAGUAGCAUAAUAAGUUGUCAUUUAAUUGAUGGAGAGUAUGAAUGGUAAAACGAGCUUCUCACUGUCUUAAGUAAAAGUUUUUUGAAAUUAAAUUAAUAGUGAAGAUUCUAUUUUAUAUCGUUAGACGAAAAGACCCUAUAGAGCUUUACUAUAUUUCUUUAUAAAAUUUAUAAAAUUUUUAUUAUUUAAUGAAGAAUUGGUAGUUUAGUUGGGGCGACUGUCUUUUAUAAUAAACAAAGAUAAGCAAAAUUAAUAAUUUAAUUUAUUGUAUAAUAAAUAAAUUUAACAAUUAUGAAAAUAGGCUAUAUUGACCCGUUAAUUUUUAUAAAAUUAAUUAACGAUUAAUUGAUAAAAGCUACCUUAGGGAUAACAGGAUAAUUUUGUUUUAGAGUUCAUAUCAAUUACAAAGUUUGUCACCUCUAUGUUGAAUUAAGAUAUCCUAAUAAUGCAGAAGUUAUUGAAGGUAGGUCUGUUCGACCUUUAAAAUCUUACAUGAUUUGA